rnacentral:misc_RNA from 1 species
UCUCCGUUGGUGAACCAGCGGAGGGAUCAUUACAGAGUUUUUAACUCCCAAACCCUUUGUGAACUUACCUUGUUGCCUCGGGGCGCGCCUUCGCGGACGGCCCCAGAGGACCAACCAUCAAAACCCUGCGUCCCUGCGUCGGAGUACCUUUGAUAAAUCAAUCAAAACUUUCAACAACGGAUCUCUUGGUUCUGGCAUCGAUGAAGAACGCAGC